CGGUUCUAAACUUGAGAAUGUGUUGAGGGAAUAGGGGGAAAGGCUCCUCGGGGACCCAGCAGAGGAACUCCUGGGAGUCCCGAUGGAAUUUUUUGGUGCAGACGGUUCCAUAUGGAAGCACGCGUCGUUCAUUACUGUAUGCCCCUGUAUGACAAGUAUUAAAUGUUGUUUUCUUUAGUUGAUCCCAAGGUCACCGAAUUUAACAAUGAUGGCCAAGAGCCAGAAAACAAAGAGACAAAAAGAAAUACCAUCCAAUAAGAAUAGUCCGUGCUUUUAAACUAUGUGAUAAAUUGCUUAUCUGUAACUGAAUGCUUUGUAUUGACCAUUAAAUAAAUAACAUAUCUUUUAAGUUAGAAAUCGUCAUGACAGGUUUAGUUAAAUUCUGAUCAUUUUUUCUGCACCUAAACGCGGUAUGAAAUUAAUCAAACCUGGGUAAAAUUUUUAAAACGACAUGAAGGAAAUUCAAAGCAAACAAUAAUUAAAAAACCGUGCUUGUCACUGAUGAUAGAAGACUCGAGAGUGUUCUUGAAAUAGCAGACUUCAUCAAGAUUUCUUUCAAUCCAGGUGAAAGGAACAAUCUAGUUUACGAGUAGGGGAGUUCCCUUGAAGCAGAGUUUGCUUGGAGCCGGCCGGCAAGACGUCUCUGUUACAAAGGUCUUGGAACUAUGUGGUCGAAAGCAUUUUAGCUUUGGACACGUCUUAGGCUUAAUUUUGGAAAGACAAAAGGUCAGUUUUACUUCCUUUCCGGUUUUAAUUGUGCAAGUUCAAAAGUUAUUUUUUUCAGUCACAAGACUUGUUAGAAUGAUAUCUAGUUUCCAUUGUCCUACAAAGGAGGAGAAAUUCUGUGGUUGUAAAUAUGUUGAUAAUAGCGAGUGGGAGGCUAAAUAUUUGGCAAAAAGAAAAUACGAAUAAAAUAUCGCUUUGUUUAAAGUCCCAUACCAAAAAUAAUCUCUCCUUAAUUAAGAGCGUUAUUUUCUUUUCGAAAAUUGUCUGCAUGAGGUCGUCUUGAAACAAAUAACGGUGGUGACAUCCAUGCCUAUUUUCAGAAUUUACUCAAGUUUCACCAAUCUGUUUGUCGGAAGCGUGUUACAACGCCCAUUUGGCAAAACAAGUUUAAACUUGUAAAUUCAGCGAUUGUAAUUAUCUUGAAUUCUCCGUGCAAUACACUUAGCUGGAGACAUCUUCUGAACUUUACGAUAAAACAAUCUGAGGUAAGUAGUUAUAAAAUAAGUAGUUCAGGAACAUUGUGUUUCGAUGUGUCUAAGUUCUUGGCUGCCACCGUCGCAAAGAUAAUUGAGUUAAUUCGAAUUGAAUCUUGAAAUAAGUUGAUCUAAGAUUGUCGAAAGCUGAUAGAAGCACAGAAAGCAAAGUACGUUGUUUAAAUCUAAUGGCUUAUUGUAACUCAAUAGCGAGCUGGUAGACUCUGCUUCAACAUGCAAUCUUUCUUCAGUUCAGUGUGUAUAAGAGGUUUGCGAAGAGCUAAGAGCCUGGAUAAAUUGAAUUGUAACCGUCGUCGAAGAAUUUUUAAACGUUGCCCUAUAUGACAGUUGAUUCCGUCACUAUCAGAUCGCAAUCGGAAAAGUGAAGGGAUGUUUGACAGAAAUCGGCUAACACAAUACUGAGCUUGGAAGAACCUCGUACGGCCUUAGGACUUAAAUCUAAGCAACGCGAGGUUUCUGUUGUACACGAAACAUUCCCUCAAUUUUAAAUAAAUUUGGAUAUGUUGAGAUGGAGCCGAAGACAGAAGGUGGGGACACCACAUCGGAAUUCCGACGGGUUUUAGCUGUAGAUCUCAGCACACACUCGCCAGUCAAUUCACACCGAACCAGUGAAACUCAAAAUAAAUUCUCGCUACUAUGUUAUCACAGUGCUAGUGCUCAUGUAGUGCUAUAUCAAGGCAGUAUCUCUUAGUUGAUGGUUUUCUUUAUUCUGUUUAUUUUCUGCUUGAAAAUCUAUUAGGACAGUAAGGAGAAACUAGAUGUAAUGUUCAUCAUGUCAACAGCGUGUGACAAAGGAAAAAAAUUCUGAGUCCCCAACGGGAUUCAGCGCCAAAGAUCUCCCGAAGGCCUGGCGGGGGCGCUCUACUCGAGUAUCCACUGAGCCACAGAAAGAUUCAUGGUGAUCAAGGCCAUUAUUGACACGGAUCC
rnacentral:lncRNA from 1 species